GUCGAAGAAAGCUUUACAUCCACUUUUAGAAUCUUAAAAAAUAAUCUCUAAAAUCUUGAUACAAAUUGAGUCCUCCUAUUUGAUAUAAUAAUAACAUAUUAGAUAUUCGUUCGAAAGUCUUGUUGUAUCCAAAAUAUCUUAUUGUUGGAAAUUUAUGAUGUUCUUGAAGAACAUGUAAAUGCAUUUUUUUUUUAAAACUUAUAGGCAUCUUUUGAAAUAAAUUAGAUUUUUCUUGAAUUAAAACUUGAAAUUAUUAUAAAACUUAAAAGGAAUAUUUUUAAUAUCAUGAAUAAGAAGAUCAGAGGACAUACUUGACUAAAUUUUCUUGAUAAAAGUUGAAUCAAUAAUCAAUGUUGAUUUCACUAUUCAAUGAUGAAAUUAUUUUGGCUUUAAUAAAAUUAUUCUUUGUUAAUAAAAAGUAACAUCUUCUUCUUUAGCUACAAAAUAAAAACGUUGUCGUGUUGUGGUU
rnacentral:lncRNA from 1 species